rnacentral:tRNA from 1 species
AUUGAAAUAGUUUAUAUUAAAAUAGUAAAUUGUGAUUUUACUGAAAUACUUCAAUA